rnacentral:rRNA from 1 species
GACGAACGCUGGCGGCGUGCCUAACACAUGCAAGUCGAACGAGAUCCAGAGGUGCUUGCACCUUGAAGAUCUAGUGGCGAACGGGUGAGUAGCACGUGAGCAACCUGCCCCGAAGACCGGGACAACAGUGGGAAACCGCUGCUAAUACCGGAUACCCCCAUCGGAUCACAUGGUCUGAUGAGGAAAUGGAUUCCGCUUCGGGAGGGGCUCGCGGCCUAUCAGCUUGUUGGUGGGGUAAUGGCCCACCAAGGCUUCGACGGGUAGCUGGUCUGAGAGGACGAUCAGCCACACUGGGACUGAGACACGGCCCAGACUCCUACGGGAGGCAGCAGUGGGGAAUCUUGCACAAUGGGCGAAAGCCUGAUGCAGCAACGCCGCGUGAGGGACGAAUGCUUUCUGAGUUGUAAACCUCUUUCAGCAGGGACGAUUGUGACGGUACCUGCAGAAGAAGCACCGGCCAACUGCGUGCCAGCAGCCGCGGUGAUACGUAGGGUGCAAGCGUUGUCCGGAUUUAUUGGGCGUAAAGAGCUCGUAGGCGGUUUGAUAAGUCGGAUGUGAAAUCUCCAGGCUCAACCUGGAGCUGCCAUUUGAUACUGUCAUGACUAGAGUUUGGUAGGGGAUCACGGAAUUCCUGGUGUAGCGGUGGAAUGCGCAGAUAUCAGGAGGAACACCAGUAGCGAAGGCGGUGAUCUGGGCCAAUACUGACGCUGAGGAGCGAAAGCGUGGGGAGCGAACAGGAUUAGAUACCCUGGUAGUCCACGCCGUAAACGGUGGGCACUAGGUGUGGGGACUAUUCAACGGUUUCCGCGCCGACGCU